rfam:Ovis aries breed Texel chromosome 1, whole genome shotgun sequence.
UGGCUCAGAGGUUAAAGUGUCUGCCUGGAAUGCAGGAGACCCGGGUUCGAUCCCUGG